GCUUCUGGCCACAUCACCCUGAAUGUACCCAAUCUUGUCUGAUCUUGCAAGCUAAGCAGGGAUCAGGCCUACUUAGAUGGAAGAC
rnacentral:rRNA from 1 species